CUUUUUAUUCAGUCAUAUAACUCAUAAUAGUUUGCUUCUGUUAUCUCUGCCGAUAUAUUGGCUUAUUUGUUGAUGUUUACUAAUAUGACUACCAUUCGCUCCAUUUAAAUUUUGAUCUUCCCAAUUUUUUGAGCUUGUUAUGGCUUUGCUUCCAUGGUUAAAUCCUCCCCACUGAACUACAAACUCCCUCAUUCUCCUCGCAUCCCAGUCUGAAAUGUCUCUGUAUUCAUCUCAAGAUUAUAUUUAUCUACUUUUCAUAUUUUAUUCUUCACUCGCUGAGUUAUUAUAGCUUCUUCUGAUAUUGAAUGUAUCUCACAUACGAAACGGAGACUCUAACCUACUUCUCUGGCCCCAGCAUAAUUUCUUGCCUCCCA
rnacentral:misc_RNA from 1 species